CUUUUAAUUGGAGGCUGGAAUGAAUGGUUGAAUGAGAUAUUAACUGUUUCAUAUAAAUUUUUGAUAGAAUUUUAUUUUUUAGUUAAAAAGCUAAAAUUUAAUUAAAAGACGAGAAGACCCUAUAAAUCUUUAUAUUUUAUUGGGGUGAUAUUAAAAUUUAAUAAACUUUUAAUUAAAAAUAAACAUAAAUUAAUGAAUUAUUGAUCCAUAGAUUAUGAUUAAAAAAUUAAGUUACUUUAGGGAUAACAGCGUAAUUUUUUUAGAGAGUUCUUAUUGAUAAAAAAGAUUGCGACCUCGAUGU
rnacentral:rRNA from 1 species